AGAGUUUGAUCAUGGCUCAGAUUGAACGCUGGCGGCAUGCUUUACACAUGCAAGUCGAGCGGCAGCGCGGGGGCAACCCUGGCGGCGAGCGGCGAACGGGUGAGUAAUGCAUCGGAACGUGUCCCGUAGUGGGGGAUAACCCGGCGAAAGCCGGACUAAUACCGCAUAUGCUCUACGGAGGAAAGCGGGGGAUUCGCAAGAACCUCGCGCUAUGGGAGCGGCCGAUGUCCGAUUAGCUUGUUGGUGGGGUAAUGGCUUACCAAGGCGACGAUCGGUAGCUGGUCUGAGAGGAUGAUCAGCCACACUGGGACUGAGACACGGCCCAGACUCCUACGGGAGGCAGCAGUGGGGAAUUUUGGACAAUGGGGGCAACCCUGAUCCAGCCAUGCCGCGUGCGGGAAGAAGGCCUUCGGGUUGUAAACCGCUUUUGUCCGGAAAGAAAAGGUACCUCCUAAUACGGGGUGCUCUUGACGGUACCGGAAGAAUAAGCACCGGCUAACUACGUGCCAGCAGCCGCGGUAAUACGUAGGGUGCGAGCGUUAAUCGGAAUUACUGGGCGUAAAGCGUGCGCAGGCGGUUCGCAAAGUCUGAUGUGAAAGCCCCGGGCUCAACCUGGGAACUGCAUUGGAAACUAACGAGCUUGAGUGUGGCAGAGGGGGGUGGAAUUCCACGUGUAGCAGUGAAAUGCGUAGAGAUGUGGAGGAACACCGAUGGCGAAGGCAGCCCCCUGGGCUAACACUGACGCUCAGGCACGAAAGCGUGGGGAGCAAACAGGAUUAGAUACCCUAGUAGUCC
rnacentral:rRNA from 1 species